rnacentral:misc_RNA from 1 species
AACGCACCUUGCGCUCCUCGGCAUUCCGAGGAGCAUGCCUGUUUGAGUGUCAUGUUAAAUCUCAGCCCUCCUUUGGGUUGGACUUUGGACGCUGCGGGGGCCCGACCUCCGCUCGUCUUAAAUCCAUUUGGCGGGGACGACGACCCAUUGCUGGCGUUUAGUAAUGCUUGCGCCGCGCGAGGGCCGCCGACCUUUUUUCGCUUCUUACGCGGGGCGCUGCCCCGCAGCUGCCCCGCACUUGACUUCUGGCCUCAAAUCAGGUAGGAUUACCCGCCGAACUUAA